GACGAACGCUGGCGGCGUGCUUAACACAUGCAAGUCGAACGGAAAGGCCCUGCUUUUGUGGGGUGCUCGAGUGGCGAACGGGUGAGUAACACGUGAGUAACCUGCCCUUGACUUUGGAAUAACUUCAGGAAACUGGGGCUAAUACCGGAUAGGAGCUCCUGCUGCAUGGUGGGGGUUGGAAAGUUUCGGCGGUUGGGGAUGGACUCGCGGCUUAUCAGCUUGUUGGUGGGGUAGUGGCUUACCAAGGCUUUGACGGGUAGCCGGCCUGAGAGGGUGACCGGCCACAUUGGGACUGAGAUACGGCCCAGACUCCUACGGGAGGCAGCAGUGGGGAAUAUUGCACAAUGGGCGGAAGCCUGAUGUAGCAACGCCGCGUGCGGGAUGACGGCCUUCGGGUUGUAAACCGCUUUCGCCUGUGACGAAGCGUGAGUGACGGUAAUGGGUAAAGAAGCACCGGCUAACUACGUGCCAGCAGCCGCGGUGAUACGUAGGGUGCGAGCGUUGUCCGGAUUUAUUGGGCGUAAAGGGCUCGUAGGUGGUUGAUCGCGUCGGAAGUGUAAUCUUGGGGCUUAACCCUGAGCGUGCUUUCGAUACGGGUUGACUUGAGGAAGGUAGGGGAGAAUGGAAUUCCUGGUGGAGCGGUGGAAUGCGCAGAUAUCAGGAGGAACACCAGUGGCGAAGGCGGUUCUCUGGGCCUUUCCUGACGCUGAGGAGCGAAAGCGUGGGGAGCGAACAGGCUUAGAUACCCUGGUAGUCCACGCUGUAAACGGUGGGUACUAGGUGUGGGGUCCAUUCCACGGGUUCCGUGCCGUAGCUAACGCUUUAAGUACCCCGCCUGGGGAGUACGGCCGCAAGGCUAAAACUCAAAGGAAUUGACGGGGCCCCGCACAAGCGGCGGAGCAUGCGGAUUAAUUCGAUGCAACGCGUAGAACCUUACCUGGGUUUGACAUGGAUCGGGAGUGCUCAGAGAUGGGUGUGCCUCUUUUGGGGUCGGUUCACAGGUGGUGCAUGCCUGUCGUCAGCUCGUGUCGUGAGAUGUUGGGUUAAGUCCCGCAACGAGCGCAACCCUUGUUCACUGUUGCCAGCACGUUAUGGUGGGGACUCAGUGGAGACCGCCGGGGUCAACUCGGAGGAAGGUGGGGAUGACGUCAAGUCAUCAUGCCCCUUAUGUCCAGGGCUUCACGCAUGCUACAAUGGCUGGUACAGAGAGUGGCGAGCCUGUGAGGGUGAGCGAAUCUCGGAAAGCCGGUCUCAGUUCGGAUUGGGGUCUGCAACUCGACCUCAUGAAGUCGGAGUCGCUAGUAAUCGCAGAUCAGCAACGCUGCGGUGAAUAAGUUUCCGGG
rnacentral:rRNA from 1 species